UCUUACGGUGACCACUAAGGGAAUCAACUCCGCCUUAAAACCACCGUUUCUAAGCAAAGAUCAAUAAUGACUUUUCCAAGCCCUACUCUACUUGGCUUUUCAAAGCCCUACACUACACUCUCAAAGAGAGAAGAAGAAGUCUUUCAAAUAUCAAUAAUCAACUAAUGAGAAAAUAAGCCUAAAGAGUCUAUUUAUAGCUUAUUACAUAAAAUACCAAAAUACCCUUAAUGAGAAAGGGCUCCUAUG
rnacentral:lncRNA from 1 species